UUACAUUAUUCGAUAAAAUAAAUUAAUGAUAUAAAAUUAUUUGAACUAUUUUAAAAUAUUUAAGAGAUUAACACUAUACCAUGAAAAUAUAAAUAAAAAAAUACAUAAACAUCAUAGUUUAAAAUAAAACAUCGUAGUUUUAAAUGUUUUUCUUAUACUUCAUUUAAAAGUUGAUUAAAUGAUAUAAAAUAUUUCUAAAAGAACCCUACCAAUAAAAUCUAGUCAACAGUCAAGAUGUAUUUUUAAGGCUUUUGGUAAAUUCUUUUUGUUUGACCUGAUAUUUUAUUUUGUCAUAAAUUUGUUUAAUAGACCGAGUGAAAAUACUCAUUGAUUGUAAUCUUUCUCAUAAAUGUAAUGUUUUAAUAAAUCAGUGUUAUAAAAAAAACACGGCUCUCUUCUACAUAUUAUAUAUAAUAUACAAAAAAAGAAUGAGGGAAAAUACUUAAGGGUGUAUUUAACUAAGAGUUUAGUGUGAUUUUUAUUAAAAUGACAAAUCUAAUGUUAUUCUAAAUUUCAAAAUUUAUUUAAAAUUCAUUGUUAUUGAACUUGACAUUUUAUAAAAUAAUCUGAAACCCGCUAUUAUUUAAAAUAUUUUAAUUUGUAGAGUUUCAAGGUUAUCAAGUGAUUUUAGAAUGUUCGGGUGAAAUAUCAAAAUUACAAUAAAAAUAAAACAUAAAUCCUAUGGUUUUAGCUGAUAUUUUAGAGUGGUUUAACUAAAAUCACUUAAAAAUUUCAUUAUAUAAAAUCAUCUAAAAUUUAUUAAAAAUCAAAUCACCUCCAAUUUUAGAUUAAAUACACCCCCUUAAUGUUUCGUUUAAUUAAGAUUGAAUAUUUAUUUAAUAGAAUAUAUUCUAUAAUUAAUGCAAGAUUUUAUGAGAUAUAUUCUAUAAUUAAUGCAAGAUUUUAUGAGAUAAGUUGAGACCUUUUCCAAUCUGAUUUUUAAGGUAUUCAGAUUCUUUCCUUUUUAGAAGAAAUCAAUUACUAUAGGGAUGGAUUUGUACCGAUCUAACCCCUUAUAUAAGAGGAUAUGACCAUGAUCGUUUAAUCUAAAAAGCUUGAAGCAGAACCAAAAAUUAUCUUCACCAAAAAAUAGCUACAGAGACAAUAAUAAUGUCAGCACAAAAGUUUCAAGUUGUUUAUCUGCUCUUAAUUAUUUUUCUCCUUUUUUCUCAGUCUACUGCAAACAGAUGUGUGUACAGAGGUCCUUGUAAAAUUGAUGACGAUUGCAAGAAGUUAUGCACUUUCCCUGGGGAUGAUCCAUCGUACUGGAGAUGCCUGACUCCCCCCCCAAUAAAUGGACAAUGUUGUUGUAAACAUUCAAACCAAGGAAAUAUAGUCUUGUUAUAAAAGAAUACACAUUCAUAAAUUUGUGGCAUUGCUUAUCAUAAAAUUUAAUAAAAUAUAAUGUAUGGAUCA